AUGGAUGUCUGAGCGGUUGA
rnacentral:siRNA from 1 species